CUCUAUAAAUGAGACUUUACCAUGACUCUUCAGGUCUGAUCCAUAGCUGGAUACUGAUUGUAUUUCUGCAUGCAAUGUGCAACAAUUUCCUUUGAAGGUUUAACUACCAUCUGUCAUUGGUGAAGAAAGUAUCUCGGACAGUGAAUGGUUCUUCAUAGUGGUGUCAAGCAAAAGAAAAACCAAACCUGUCAUUGUCAUCUAUGUGUAGAAAAUUACUGAGAGCACCUCUGUUAGAAUUUUAGUGUUUAAGAACUGUACAGGGCAUGGUAACUAUGAGAAUGCUGCUCUACAAAAUCAAAUUGAAAAGGUAACCUUUGUUAAUUAGCAUAUUUGAAUAAAUAAUCUCGAAAGUACAUUCAUUGUUACUGCACUUGCAUUGCU